UCCCUAGAUAGCUCAGUUGGUAGACCACCUGACCGUGAAUCGAGGAGUCGUAGGUUCGAGUCCUGCUCUGGGAG